CAGAACUAUGACUUUGGCAGAUUGAGUCUUUGUUCUCGUUUUUGGCAGGUGCUGCUGCCUACAUCUGGGUUCCAAGGCCUGAAUGGUAACUCCAUCAUGGCAUCAGUUGUGCUAAGGUCUAGGGGCCUGUUUUAUGACAGAAACCUUUUCUCCAUGAAGGUGCAUUGGCAGUUGAGUAGUGGCAUGGAGAAUAGAGGCAUCAUGAUUACAUUAUGGAUGGAUCGAGGUGACAGAAAGACGAGACUUCCCUCUCCACCAAGACUACAGGCAGCAAGCAGCAAGCACAAGAAGAGAUCUCCUUGAGAAGUUUCCUAUGCUUUGUGCUGGUAGCGGUGUUGGGAAGGAGGCCUGGAUCCUGCUUUAACCAGUUUUCAUCCAUCCCUGCUCAUUCAGUCUUUGCAGUCUACCACUGGUUUGCAUGAAGAGUUAGAAAGAAUUCCAGAAACCGUCUAGUUGCUACUUCUCUGGGACAUUGGAACACAGUGAAGCCUUGGUGAUACAACUUCUCACUUAAACUUAGCAGGGCGAACGUCGGCAAUGUUGGUCUUUCCCCUUUCCAACCACUACUACCAGUAGAAUUCACGGCACUCGGUUAAGCCCCUGUAAAAAACAAGAGAAUUCUCACACUCCAUUGAAACUGCUGCUGCUGAGACAAGGGUGACUGGCCUUGAGAGGACGAUAAAGGAGCCCAGCAGUUUUGAGCACCCUACAACACAAAGCCACUGAGGCUUGGAGUUGUUACUGGGAACAGACUGGACCACGUUGUGUGUCUUCGUACGUGCUGUUCUUGUACUAUUCACCCUGCCUUUCUUCACAUGGUCAACUUCUGUGAAGAUCAGAGCCCCGCCUGCCCCUUUAAACAGCAUGGAAAGUUGCUAAAUGGUACUUCCAUUGUUUGUGAACAGGCAUUCAUUGAUUAUUUAACCAAUUCCAUUGUUCUCCCAUGUAAUUUCCUCAUCUCAGUUCUUGAACACAGUAGGCAGAGCGUGAACAAACACACAGAUCCAUUAUCUGAUAAAUAAAAUGUUACAGGAGUCUAUUAAAUUACCUG
rnacentral:lncRNA from 1 species